ensembl:lncRNA
GAGAGAGCGAGAGAGGGAGAGCGAGAGAGGGAGCGAGAGAUAGAGAGAGCGAGAGAGGGAGAGAGAGAGAGAGAGAGAGCGAGAGCGAGAGCGAGCAAGGGGGAGAUUUUCCACAAAGCUUUUUUCUUUCUGCGCUUGAACAUCCCGGAUAAAGCUGAGCUUGUAAAGUGGGAAAGUACGAGCACCAGACCUUCCUCAACGUCAAUAUUUUCAUACUUUUGAUACUCUUUCAAGCUGGAAUUCACGCUUUCGCUUUUUUUCUCCAACUCCCAUUUCCAGAUCUAGGACACGGUCAUCCGUGGUGUAAUAAAAAAGUAACAGGCACGAGAAAAAAGUAACAAGGAGACCGCAUCAGAUAACCAGAGUGGAGUACAGUAGCCAACACCACGGCGGGAGCCCGGUAGUGAAUGGAGCCGUGCGGGGCUUAUGGCAGAGGGGUGUUCGUAUAAUAAUGGGACACGGAGUGGCUCUCCCAGAUGAACCUUCGAAGACUAUCACUGAGGCAAGGUGCCGGACCGGGGCAUCACGACCUGAUGGAUGUAUCUAAGUACAUCGUCACCUUUCCCUCAUUCUCCCUCGUAGCGGACAGCUCUUGUCUCCCCCAGCGGAAAAGGACCUCUGAAGUAUGGAUUUGUUCUGCUGAUAUCCCAAUGACCCCUACCGCCACCACCACAGCACUGGCACCACUAUGGUUGAAGUAGAUGCGAAGUUUCAUAGUGACUUUCGCCUCCCCCUGGUCCAUUUUUUGUCUGUCUUUUCCAAACCAGGCG